AGUAACACGUGGAUAACCUACCUAUAAGACUGGGAUAACUUCGGGAAACUGGAGCUAAUACCGGAUAAUAUAUUGAACCGCAUGGUUCAAUAGUGAAAGACGGUUUUGCUGUCACUUAUAGAUGGAUCCGCGCCGCAUCAGCUAGUUGGUAAGGUAACGGCUUACCAAGGCAACGAUGCGUAGCCGACCUGAGAGGGUGAUCGGCAACACUGGAACUGAGACACGGUCCAG
rnacentral:rRNA from 1 species